rnacentral:rRNA from 1 species
UAGUGAACCAGUACCGUGAGGGAAAGGCGAAAAGAACCCCGGCGAGGGGAGUGAAAAAGAACCUGAAACCGUGUACGUACAAGCAGUGGGAGCCUCUUUAUGGGGUGACUGCGUACCUUUUGUAUAAUGGGUCAGCGACUUAUAUUCUGUAGCAAGGUUAACCGAAUAGGGGAGCCGAAGGGAAACCGAGUCUUAACUGGGCGUUAAGUUGCAGGGUAUAGACCCGAAACCCGGUGAUCUAGCCAUGGGCAGGUUGAAGGUUGGGUAACACUAACUGGAGGACCGAACCGACUAAUGUUGAAAAAUUAGCGGAUGACUUGUGGCUGGGGGUGAAAGGCCAAUCAAACCGGGAGAUAGCUGGUUCUCCCCGAAAGCUAUUUAGGUAGCGCCUCGUGAAUUCAUCUCCGGGGGUAGAGCACUGUUUCGGCAAGGGGGUCAUCCCGACUUACCAACCCGAUGCAAACUGCGAAUACCGGAGAAUGUUAUCACGGGAGACACACGGCGGGUGCUAACGUCCGUCGUGAAGAGGGAAACAACCCAGACCGCCAGCUAAGGUCCCAAAGUCAUGGUUAAGUGGGAAACGAUGUGGGAAGGCCCAGACAGCCAGGAUGUUGGCUUAGAAGCAGCCAUCAUUUAAAGAAAGCGUAAUAGCUCACUGGUCGAGUCGGCCUGCGCGGAAGAUGUAACGGGGCUAAACCAUGCACCGAAGCUGCGGCAGCGACACUAUGUGUUGUUGGGUAGGGGAGCGUUCUGUAAGCCUGUGAAGGUGUACUGUGAGGUAUGCUGGAGGUAUCAGAAGUGCGAAUGCUGACAUAAGUAACGAUAAAGCGGGUGAAAAGCCCGCUCGCCGGAAGACCAAGGGUUCCUGUCCAACGUUAAUCGGGGCAGGGUGAGUCGACCCCUAAGGCGAGGCCGAAAGGCGUAGUCGAUGGGAAACAGGUUAAUAUUCCUGUACUUGGUGUUACUGCGAAGGGGGGACGGAGAAGGCUAUGUUGGCCGGGCGACGGUUGUCCCGGUUUAAGCGUGUAGGCUGAUUUUCCAGGCAAAUCCGGAAAAUCAAGGCUGAGGCGUGAUGACGAGGCACUACGGUGCUGAAGCAACAAAUGCCCUGCUUCCAGGAAAAGCCUCUAAGCAUCAGGUAACAUCAAAUCGUACCCCAAACCGACACAGGUGGUCAGGUAGAGAAUACCAAGGCGCUUGAGAGAACUCGGGUGAAGGAACUAGGCAAAAUGGUGCCGUAACUUCGGGAGAAGGCACGCUGAUAUGUAGGUGAAGCGACUUGCUCGUGGAGCUGAAAUCAGUCGAAGAUACCAGCUGGCUGCAACUGUUUAUUAAAAACACAGCACUGUGCAAACACGAAAGUGGACGUAUACGGUGUGACGCCUGCCCGGUGCCGGAAGGUUAAUUGAUGGGGUUAGCGGUAACGCGAAGCUCUUGAUCGAAGCCCCGGUAAACGGCGGCCGUAACUAUAACGGUCCUAAGGUAGCGAAAUUCCUUGUCGGGUAAGUUCCGACCUGCACGAAUGGCGUAAUGAUGGCCAGGCUGUCUCCACCCGAGACUCAGUGAAAUUGAACUCGCUGUGAAGAUGCAGUGUACCCGCGGCAAGACGGAAAGACCCCGUGAACCUUUACUAUAGCUUGACACUGAACAUUGAGCCUUGAUGUGUAGGAUAGGUGGGAGGCUUUGAAGUGUGGACGCCAGUCUGCAUGGAGCCGACCUUGAAAUACCACCCUUUA